CGUACCAACGGGUGCAAGAUGGAAACGGGGAGAGAGAGAGGGAGAGGUUGGAGCUUUGGAAAGGGUUAAGGUCCUGAAAGAGGGCAGGGAGCCGAAGUGAGAAGGGUUUCAGCAUCAACCCAAACCCAUUUAAAGCACUAAGGGCGAUCCUUCUCGCACUCGAUCGAGGAAAAAUUAGUCUGAUACAUGUCAUGCUCUAAGGGUCACAGUCACACUUUCUAGCUCUAAACCUUGACGAAGGCACUUCCCUCGCUAUUUCAAUAUCUCUCUAUAAACUAUUUGCAGCAAGGGAAAGAAAGGGCGUAAAGGAAGCUACCGGUCCUCCCAUUACAGCAAGCCACUGGCUCACUUCCAUGGACUAAGGUGACGAAUCAGAUGAUGGUGAAUUCUGUUAAUGAUCUUUGUGGAUAAAUGGACGAAUCAGAUGAUGGUGAAUUCUGGCAAGUAAAACCAAAGUAUUAAAUUUGACCAGAACUUGAUAGAUGUAUUCUUGUAUGGUUUGAUUAAGGGAGAGUUCUUUGAUGCAGUUAAUGAUCUUUGUGGAUAAUUGGAGGUAUAAGCAAGUGGUUAUGGAAACCCAUGAGAAGCUCAAGUUAAAAAAGCUGAGAAAAAGGAAUCAUAGAGAGGUGGAAGCUUGCACCCCAUAUGAAGAGAAGCUUCUUUUAUGGGAUGGUAUAGCAUCCAUGUGAUGGAUGCUUGAACGGUUGAACCUGGUUUCAUUCAACAGCCAUAAAAUAAUUCUGUUUUUUUUUUAAAAAAAAAAAAAAAUAUCUUUGUUUAAAAUUUCGAAGUAUAAAUGCUUUUUUAUAUGGGAAAUCUAAUAAAAAAUGUUUUAAACAAAAAAAUUGACCAGAAUAUUUCCUAUGUUCAAGUUUUUAGUGUGCUAUCAUCUAUACCCAUAUAAAGAUCAUAUUUAACUAAAACAAAAAGGAAUUAUUUUGUGGCCCUUGGAUAUGGGCUCGUUCAAUCUGACGAGUCCACAUUAUGUGGAUGGGAUAUUUUCCUUUUGCUUUAUAGUGAAUUAGUCCCCACCAAUUCCCGAUUCAGAUCUGUGAUUCCUGAUCUGAAUUGCUGUUUUUUGAAACAUUGGUUUAUAGCGAAGUGAAUCCCUAAUGUUUAUUGAGUCCAACCUACCAUUUUAGUGACAAUGACUCCUAUUGAGAUAUUCUCAACGGCAAGUUUUAUGUGGGAUAUUAUAGUAUUUUUAUCAAUAAUCUAUUUAUUAGUUGA